rnacentral:tRNA from 1 species
GGUGGUGCUGUGGUUAAGCGUUUGGCUGCUAGCCAAAAGGUCGGCGGUUCAAAUCCACCUGCCACUC